GCAGGCGCUAAGCCUUCUCAGGACACAGGGUCCUCGACCCUCUGCGCAGGCGCAGCUAGGGGGUGCGCGCACGCACAGGCCCACGAGAGCGAGCGCUCGAGAACGACCUGUCCUGAAGGAGCCUAGGAUCCCAGUGCGCAGGCGCGAUUGGAAAACUUACAUGCCCUCUGCAGCUCAUUCUAGAGAUCCGUCUCCCCUCCAUUUAGUGACGCCUCAGCUAGGAGAUCUGGCUCGGUUGGAAAGUGAGAAAGGAGGUAGGAGGAUUGCCACAAGUUCAAGGCCCAUGCAGGCUACACAAGCUCCAAGCCACUGGGGCUACAUAGAAAACCUGAGGGACAAUAGCAACAAACAGCAAAAGUUCCCAGAGCCUCCACUCAAGUGGAAACUUCUGGUUUCCUUAACAACUUAGUCACAUCAUGUGAUGUUUUUCUGGAAGCUGUCUUGUGAGAGGACAUGUAAUAUUUUGCCGAAAACAGAUACCUGAGAGAGUGUGUGAUGUUUAGAAAGAAUAUAACUGGAACCCCACGAACAAUGAGAGGGAGUUCUUGCAUGGCUAUACCAUCAAUGCUUCGCUGGUCUUCACUUCAUAGGGAGAAACUCACUCGCCAAACAACGUCUCGUGGUAUCCUGGCUGACUCUGGCCGCUU
rnacentral:lncRNA from 1 species